GCGGGGUGAAAGAAAAGUUGCACCAGAUGACUUAAACAGGCAAGAAGGACUUGGUUGAAGACUAUUGCAAUAGUCAACUUCCAAUACGAUAGCAGCUGGAGAUUUAUAGCCAACGGGCUGGGUGGACGAGUUAAAGGAUGGUAAAUUACUAAGAGGAAGUUCAGUAUCAAGGGUGAGGGGAUUCUUGCUGAACUGGCUUAGCUGGAUUCUUGCCGAAGUGGGGUUCGCAGGUCAUGGAGGAGGCCUGGCCAAACAAAAAGGGCUCAGAGGAGCCUUACUAAAGCUUGAUCUAGGGAGUCCUUGUCAGGAGAGACUCCUGGAAGGCUCUGAUGGGAGGCUUAGCUUAAAGUGAUACUUUUGUUGGUGCCAGGGUCCGCGCCACGGGAAUCAGGAUGGCCGGGCAGUACCUUUCGGCAACCUGUCGCUCCUACACUUCCCAGAAGCCUCUAGGCCCAUGGCUGUCUCCCGCGAUAACGAAAUUGUCUUUUGCGGAGUGGGCGGGGUCUUCCCGCGGGUCUGAGCGAACGGCCUCCGGUCUUUGUGAGAGAACUGGGGUCAGGUUGUUUGGAUUCCAGUGGAGCGGAGCUGACCCGCCCCGAGCAGGCCUCUGCCCUGCUUGGAUAGAGGCCUCCGGAGAAGAGUAAAGAAUGGCUAUUGAACAUCCACAAGGCACCUGCAAGGUAGCUUGUCCUUUCCUCUUGUUUCCUGAAGUCACAUUUUCCUGGUUAGGACAUAGUUGCUUUCCUUUUCUUGAAAAUUCUUGCCUGUCAGAUGACCUGAUCCCUGGAGUUUCCAUAUUGAGAAAAUGUGAUGUCUUCAAACUCCACCUCCCA
rnacentral:lncRNA from 1 species